UUCUGACCCUCCAUGGCUAGCAUGCGUUCUUCCAGCAAUUUGUACUUAUCAUCUCUUGGAGAGUACUGUUCAUUUUCAUACUCUUCAUCGUCAUCCUCAGGGUUAGAGAAAUCAGGAUUCUCCUCCUCUGAAUCAAUUUCCGCCCCCUCUUCUGGACCAUUCGGGAUUCCAAAUUUGAUUCCCGUAGCCUGUCCUUUACGCCUUCUGCCCGGGUUAAUGAAGCUCACAGCUUUCUUGUCCUUCUUCUUUUCGGCCAAAAGAGCCUUCAGUUCCUCCUG
rnacentral:lncRNA from 1 species